UGGGGAAUAUUGCACAAUGGGCGCAAGCCUGAUGCAGCCAUGCCGCGUGUAUGAAGAAGGCCUUCGGGUUGUAAAGUACUUUCAGUCGGGAGGAAGGUGGUAAGGUUAAUAACCUUAUCAAUUGACGUUACCGACAGAAGAAGCACCGGCUAACUCCGUGCCAGCAGCCGCGGUAAUACGGAGGGUGCAAGCGUUAAUCGGAAUUACUGGGCGUAAAGCGCACGCAGGCGGUUGAUUGAGUCAGAUGUGAAAUCCCCGGGCUUAACCCGGGAAUUGCAUCUGAUAAUGGUCAGCUAGGGUCUUGUAGAGGGGGGUAGAAUUCCAUGUGUAGCGGUGAAAUGCGUAGAGAUGUGGAGGAAGACCGGUGGCGAAAGCGGCCCCCUGGACAAAGACUGACGCUCAGGUGCGAAAACGUGGGGAGCAAACAGG
rnacentral:rRNA from 1 species